CAGGUUAGUUCCGUGACUAUUGGUACACAACAGCCUCAGGACGCAGGUUAGUUCCGUGACAAUAAGGGUACACAACAGCCUCAGGACGCAGGUUAGUUCCGUGACAAUAAGGGUACACAACAGCCUCAGGACGCAGGUUAGUUCCGUGACAAUAAGGGUACACAACAGCCUCAGGACGCAGGUUAGUUCCGUGACAAUAAUGGUACACAACAGCCUCAGGACGCAGGUUAGUUCCGUGACAAUAAUGGUACACAACAGCCUCAGGACGCAGGUUAGUUCCGUGACAAUAAUGGUACACAACAGCCUCAGGACGCAGGUUAGUUCCGUGACAAUAAUGGUACACAACAGCCUCAGGACGCAGGUUAGUUCCGUGACAAUAAUGGUACACAACAGCCUCAGGACGCAGGUUAGUUCCGUGACAAUAAGGGUACACAACAGCCUCAGGACGCAGGUUAGUUCCGUGACAAUAAUGGUACACAACAGCCUCAGGACGCAGGUUAGUUCCGUGACAAUAAGGGUACACAACAGCCUCAGGACGCAGGUUAGUUCCGUGACAAUAAUGGUACACAACAGCCUCAGGACGCAGGUUAGUUCCGUGACAAUAAGGGUACACAACAGCCUCAGGACGCAGGUUAGUUCCGUGACAAUAAUGGUACACAACAGCCUCAGGACGCAGGUUAGUUCCGUGACAAUAAGGGUACACAACAGCCUCAGGACGCAGGUUAGUUCCGUGACAAUAAUGGUACACAACAGCCUCAGGACGCAGGUUAGUUCCGUGACAAUAAGGGUACACAACAGCCUCAGGACGCAGGUUAGUUCCGUGACAAUAAGGGUACACAACAGCCUCAGGACGCAGGUUAGUUCCGUGACUAUUGGUACACAACAGCCUCAGGUAAGUUCUGUGAAAAGUCUUCACACAAGGCAGAUGAUGCUCUGGUGUGAUCAUGACUUGCAAUACGUCAUGAUGUAACCAGACUGUAGACUGUACAUAUGUACUGAUAUGAGCAGUCUGGUAGUGGGGCGACUCUGAGUGUGCGUGUCCUGAGAUCAAGUGUGUGAUGAACGCCAUUGGAACAC
rnacentral:misc_RNA from 1 species